rnacentral:pre_miRNA from 1 species
AAUAAGCGCAACCAUGAGUUUCCGUGUCCAAUUUUUAUCUUCCGUCUUAUUUAAAAUUUUUUUAUGAUUAGUAUUUUUAUUGUUAUUAGAUUAUAAAAUAUGAAUACAUAUGUUUUUGUAUUUUUUUAAAAAAAUAUUAAAUAAGACGAACGAUUAAAGUUGGACACGAAAACUCAUGGCUGCGCUUAUU